AGAGUUUGAUCAUGGCUCAGAUUGAACGCUGGCGGCAUGCCUUACACAUGCAAGUCGAACGGUAACAGGUCUUUCGGGAUGCUGACGAGUGGCGAACGGGUGAGUAAUACAUCGGAACGUGCCCAGUAAUGGGGGAUAGCUCGGCGAAAGCCGGAUUAAUACCGCAUACGCCCUGAGGGGGAAAGUGGGGGACCGCAAGGCCUCACGUUAUUGGAGCGGCCGAUGGCUGAUUAGCUAGUUGGUAGGGUAAAGGCCUACCAAGGCAACGAUCAGUAGCUGGUCUGAGAGGACGAUCAGCCACACUGGGACUGAGACACGGCCCAGACUCCUACGGGAGGCAGCAGUGGGGAAUUUUGGACAAUGGGCGAAAGCCUGAUCCAGCCAUGCCGCGUGUGUGAAGAAGGCCUUCGGGUUGUAAAGCACUUUAAGCGAGGAGGAAGGUUCGUCACCUAAUACGUGACGGAAUUGACGUUACUCGCAGAAUAAGCACCGGCUAACUCUGUGCCAGCAGCCGCGGUAAUACAGAGGGUGCAAGCGUUAAUCGGAAUUACUGGGCGUAAAGCGCGCGUAGGCGGUUGCGUAAGUUGGAUGUGAAAUCCCCGGGCUUAACCUGGGCACUGCAUUCAAAACUGCACGCUAGAGUAUUGGAGAGGAAGGUAGAAUUCCAGGUGUAGCGGUGAAAUGCGUAGAGAUCUGGAGGAAACCGAUGGCGAAG
rnacentral:rRNA from 1 species